UACGGGGGGGGCAAGCGUUGUUCGGAAUUACUGGGCGUAAAGGGCUCGUAGGCGGCCAACUAAGUCAGACGUGAAAUCCCUCGGCUUAACCGGGGAACUGCGUCUGAUACUGGAUGGCUUGAGGUUGGGAGAGGGAUGCGGAACUCCAGGUGUAGCGGUGAAAUGCGUAGAUAUCUGGAGGAACACCGGUGGCGAAGGCGGCAUCCUGGACCAAUUCUGACGCUGAGGAGCGAAAGCCAGGGGAGCAAACGGG
rnacentral:rRNA from 1 species